GACCAGACUCCUACGGGAGGCAGCAGUGAGGAAUAUUGGUCAAUGGGCGCAAGCCUGAACCAGCCAAGUCGCGUGAGGGAUGACGGUCCUAUGGAUUGUAAACCUCUUUUGUCGGGGAGCAAGGCCCGCCACGUGUGGCGGGAAGGAGAGUACCCGAAGAAAAAGCAUCGGCUAACUCCGUGCCAGCAGCCGCGGUAAUACGGAGGAUGCGGGCGUUAUCCGGUUUUUUUGGGUUUAAAGGGUGCGUAGGCGGAAGGUUAGGUCAGCGGUAAAAUGGGGGGGCCCAACCCGGGCCCGCCGUUGAAACUGGCAGUCUCGAGUUGGAGAGAAGUAUGCGGAAUGCGCGGUGUAGCGGUGAAAUGCAUAGAUAUCGCGCAGAACUCCGAUUGCGAAGGCAGCAUGCCGGCUCCACACUGACGCUGAGGCACGAAAGCGUGGGUAUCGAACAGGAUUAGAUACCCGCGUA
rnacentral:rRNA from 1 species